UGUGUAUAGUGGUGGGCGGUCUCCCUCCAACUAAGCGGUCAGUCUCAAUUCAAAGAUUGGGACUUCUUGAGAAACCUGUAAAUGAAGUCCACUUUCGCUAGAGAUUCCUCGAUAAGGGAUCCUUAUAUGAUUAAGUCAACUAAAACUUUCAAGUAAUAAAAGAAAGAGUAUAGAAAUGAGAAAUGUGGAUUUGUUCUCUUGAAAAAGAUUGCAAAGUCUCCUACACUUCCCUUUAUAUAGAGGGGGGCAAUCAAAAAUAACUUUCAAGUUCGAUAA
rnacentral:lncRNA from 1 species